GAUAUCAGGAGGGUGAUGUGGUGAACUGGAUUUAAGUGAGGCAGAGCUGCAAAAAGUCACGGACCUCACUGUCUUCUCCAGAGUCAUGGAAGUCCAGAGCCUGUGUUUUCUGUUGGCCUGGAACGAUGCCACCAGGGCUACAAGAUGAAACAAGAAUGGAAGACCUGCUUCUUGUAGGGUGUAGCAGCUUUCUCUUCUUCAGGCCCAGCCCAUCAGACUAAUAAUGACUCUAGGGAGGGGAGAAAAAUGCCAGGAGCUUUGUUCAUUUCAAAGUCUUAGCCUAAGGAGGAAAACAACAGGAAGACAAGAUACCCUUUAGGCCAAGGGUAUGUGGGAAAACACAUGUACUGUACUUGUAUUCUGGGACUGGAGCAAUGAAUAAAAUCACUUUUUAUUUC